rnacentral:rRNA from 1 species
CAGUACCGCGGUAAUACGUAGGUGGCAAGCGUUAUCCGGAAUUAUUGGGCGUAAAGCGCGCGUAGGCGGUUUUUUAAGUCUGAUGUGAAAGCCCACGGCUCAACCGUGGAGGGUCAUUGGAAACUGGAAAACUUGAGUGCAGAAGAGGAAAGUGGAAUUCCAUGUGUAGCGGUGAAAUGCGCAGAGAUAUGGAGGAACACCAGUGGCGAAGGCGGCUCUCUGGUCUGUAACUGACGCUGAGGCUCGAAAGCGUGGGGAGCAAAUGGGAUUAGAUACCCCAGUAGUCCCUGUCUCUUAUACC